CAGAUGUGCCCAGAUGGGAUUAGCUAGUAGGUGGGGUAACGGCUCACCUAGGCGACGAUCCCUAGCUGGUCUGAGAGGAUGACCAGCCACACUGGAACUGAGACACGGUCCAGACUCCUACGGGAGGCAGCAGUGGGGAAUAUUGCACAAUGGGCGCAAGCCUGAUGCAGCCAUGCCGCGUGUGUGAAGAAGGCCUUCGGGUUGUAAAGCA
rnacentral:rRNA from 1 species